UAUCACCUACUUUGUAACGCUACCAUUGUAUUAGAAUCUUUCUGGCUUCUGCCUUAGCAUUUUCUAGCAGCUGCUGCAAAUUGGCAUGCUCUAACAUCUCUUUUACAAGUGACAAAUCCAUACAAUACAAGGUGUAGUUUCUUAUUAGUCAACUGGCUAGUAAAUACACGUGGUUUUAUACAGGAAAUCACAGCCUCUAAUAAUAGCUACUUUACAAGCACACAUAUUCAAGGUCUUACUUUUUACUUGUCCCCAAGUGAUGUUUUGCAAUCAUUUGUUUUUCUCUUCCUCUAUCUCAUUCUGCUCGGGGUAUUCAUGGUCAGCUCCUGUAGCUGAGGCAUCAGGUUUAUCCAUUCAUCUGUCCAGCUCAUGGCAAGGCUUGACAAACUUUGCAGGCAGUCACCAUGGACCUGUAGGCAGGAGGACACAAAUAUACCCCCUCCCCCAGGUUAUCAGUU